rnacentral:lncRNA from 1 species
UUGCUUGUAUCAUGGGAUACUUUGCUGGAAAACUUUCUUAUGUGAAAACUUGCCAAGAGAAAUUCAAGAAACUUGAAAAUUCCCCCCUUGGAGAAGCUUUACGAUCAGGACAAGCACGACGAUCUUCACCACCUGGGCACUAUUAUCAAAAGUCAAAAUAUGACUCAAGUGUGAGUGGUCAAUCAUCUUUUGUGACAUCCCCAGCAGCAGACAACAUAGAAAUGCUUCCUCAUUAUGAGCCAAUUCCAUUCAGUUCUUCUAUGAAUGAAUCUGCUCCCACUGGUAUUACUGAUCAUAUUGUCCAAGUCAAAGUAAACAAGUAUGGAGAUACUUGGGAUGAGUGAAAAAUUACAUCAUUGGACAUGAAGGAGUUUCAACAUCCAGCUUCAUCUAGGUGGUCAUGAUUACCUGCAUGCUUUGAGCUCAGCAGCAGUCUUCAUAAACACAUUUAAAACAAGAUCCUGGGUUUUUGUGGUUUGACUUCUAUGGUGUUUUAAAAAAACACAGAUUUUUAGUGUUAAUAUUGUGUAAAUGUACUCACCUUAGGGAUUCAUUUGAAUGAUGGUAUUAUACCAUGAUUGUAUACAGUUUGUGAAAUUGUUGCAAGGGCAAAGAUAACUCUUAAAAAACCGUCGAGAUUACAAUGCUCUAGAAUCAGCAUAUAAGAAAAUAAAUGAUAUCUGCAUGUUGAAUUGGGGUGGAUGGGGGGAGCAAGCAUAAUUUUUAAGUGUGAAGCUUUGCAUCAAGAAAUUAUUAAAAAGCUUUUUUUCUCCAGUAUUUUCUGUAUUAUCUUAAUGUUUAUGGCAAAUAAAAUGUAAAGGAACAUGC